rnacentral:misc_RNA from 1 species
GUUCCAAUAUUGCUCCAGUCAGAUAAAUAGUCGAAACCAAUGAACAUACCCAUCUGUAUUACAAUAGCUCAUCUGGUAAUCGGACUAUAAAGACGACAACUAUUGGAGUAAUUAUAGAGGUGGACUGGUGUGUUACCUGUAGUGCUUUACAGGAAUAAUACUUUUACUGGACAGUUCUAACUUAAAACAUAAUUCAUGAAUUGCUCAAAAAAUAGGAAAGGGACAAUUUUUCCUGAAAACUAUUACAACAUGAGUGGUAUUUCUGAUUUUGCCAUGUUUCGUUUUAAUUUAUGGCACAAAAACCCAUUCUUUUCUCACCAUGCAGCAGCAGUGGCUGCAGCUCAGGCCGGAAACCCAGGUAUCAUGGAAAAUACUUCAUUUGUUCCUAAUCCACUGACUUCUCCGGCUCUGAUGGUGUUGGCAUCAACAGCUGAAAAUCAUGAGGGGGCGCGGAUGCCUGCUCCACCCCACCACUACCAAGGACAAAAUGUGGACAAAGACUUGGCGACACCUUUUGGCACCCCUCCCUUUACCAUGUACAGACCAGGGGAACACUUCCCCCCUCCUAUGUACACACCUGUCCCCCCUUAUGUACGUGCCAACCUGGAGCGCGGGAUGGGGCUGAUUAACCCCGGGGGUGGGAGCGCAUUUAGGCCUGUCAGUAACCCCGAAGGAGUUGAGAACUAUCAUUCUGCGUUUUCUUUGGCUAAAAAACCCAAACUUGAUGAGUCCAGCUCUAGUUAUGCCUCGUCAGAGAAGUUGGACAGAGACAGUUGUGAUCCUCUCCAUGAGGGUGCGGAAAGUAAGGGAUCCACACCCUUUGUUAAGGAAGAACGUCCUUCUAGCAUCAGCUCUGCCACCAACUCAGAAAAUUUCUCGGAUGGGGGAGACUUUGAUAGGGGAACCCCGGAUUCGGAAGGAAGAUCUCUUAGAAAGCAGAGGAGAAAGUGUGUGUUGGAUGGCCAGACACCCUGCUGUCCUAUCUGUGGUAUUACUCUGAGGCCGGGCGAGGUCGACAUCCACUUCACCCUCGAACUAGACAAACUCAAUCGCUAUACAAGGAGUGGUAGGCGAUCAAGGGACACGACUCCACAAGGGCGAAAGUCGCUGCCAUCUCCUUCUGGUCGACGAGGAAAAGAUUCUCCGUCCAUCGAGGUGGCAUCACAGUCCCGAUUUGAUACGUACCAAAGGAUCAAGUGUAAUCGGCAGGCCCGGCUUACUAGUCGUAGCAGGACAAGGAAGAAGAAGACGGAGGAAACUGUUUGUCCGAUUUGUAACGAGAGACUGAGCGGCACACCCGAGGAACUCAAUGGACAUGUAGAGAUGUGUCUUAAAAAGCGCAAUGAAAUUGAGGAUGAGCCGGUGGAUGUGGAGGGGGACGGUGACACGUAUGAAGAGUAUACGUGGGCGGGGCAGACGAGGAUCAGGGCCACCACCAUGCUACAGGGCGGCUUCUCAGGUACUGGGUUCCAGGUGAUGAAUCUCAAGAAAUCCAUGGAGGAGGACGUUGAUCUCAACGUGGACGGAGAUGACUCAGAACUGUAUGGGACUGCACAAUUUAAUGAAGGGGACGUGUUACCGUGCCGAUCUGAUGAGCCGUCAGAAGAUCUGGAGAGAAAGGCUCUAAGAGGAGCUGUAUUAAGAAAUAUUUCACCUGGUGAUCCAUCCACUUCACAGUGCAAUGUAUCUAGUGCUCAAGAGUCCAUGGAGAUGGAAGGCAACAGUAGCUCCAGUCCGGGUAGUUCCCCACCUCAUCCACACAGGUACACUGAACACCACCUCGGCAUGAACAUAGAGGGUUCUGCCGGGGAGGUAAUUGAAGCCCUCAAAGCAAGGUUAAAAUCUAAGGAAUUGACAAAGAGAGAGAUCCCCAAAUGUCUCAUAUGUAUGGAGACGUAUAACAAACCACUUACCUCAAUCCAGUGCUGGCAUGUCCACUGUGAGGGUUGCUGGCUCAAGACAUUGGGUGCCAAGAAGCUGUGCCCACAAUGUAACAUGAUCACUGCCCCUGGGGAUCUGCGUCGCAUCUUUCUCUAAUCAUCUGUGAUAGGCUGAUGGGAUGUCCUGAUGACCUUGAUUUGAUAGGUGGUGACCUUUCAUCAUAUUCCUUCGUAACUUAUGUGGUGAUGUAAUAUCGCUGUCUAAUGAAGUCCCUAUCAUAACGUGGUGACCAGUGGUCACAAGCAGUAUUAGUUGGAUGGUGAACUUUACUGGACGUAUUUCAAACCUUUUUUUUUAAUUUAUAGACUUUUUGAGAAAGUGUAUAUAUAAAAUAUAUAUGAGUGUGUCACGAGGAAAAAAAUGUCUUCUUAUCUAUGUUGUAAUUAAAUGACAAACAAAUCCUCAGUCUUUUCAAUAUUUUGAUCACCUGGCACAAAAUGCCUGUGAGCUUAUGGUAUGGUGCAGCAUCUGUCUCGUCAGUAUCCGUCCGUCAACUUUUCUUUAAACGGCAUUCUUAAGAACCGAAAUAACUAGAGUAAUGGACAACAACCUCGCUCAUCUUUUCCUAAUGUAUUGUGUUCAGGUCAAAGGUUCACUUUUAGAGCAAAACACAUUAUGUUCGUAGGUAAUAAGCCUAGGAGAUCUUGUCACAUUCCAGAAGGCACAGAGUUAGGAUACUUUGUCAGUAGCUACUAGUGAUGCUUUAAAAUGUCUGAAGUGAAUUACCUGCAUAGUGUAAAAAGUUUUGUUUAUAGCUAUGCCUUUAAGCUAGCUAUUCAUGAGGUCAAAUGUUAAAAGUGGGUGCUGACAGGUCAAAUGUCAGUCGAGAUUAUUAUGGGCAAAAUGCUUUUGGAAGAUAUUUUUUCCAAAUCCCAGAAGAUAUUUCGUCAGUAGCUACCUGGGAUAAAAUACUAAACCGUGUUUAUCUGACAAUAUGCCCAUGCUUGGUAAUAAACUCAUCAAUAUAUAUUGCAGUUAGGAAGAAAUGCCAACAAAUCUUUUUCAUUGUCCUGUUAUAAGCCCAUCCCCCUACUUAUGUGUUGGCCCCCUGAAGACACAUUUGAACUCUUCCAUUCAAAGGUUAUGAAAUAUCAGGGGUGAAUGAGUUAAUUUAUCACAUAACCAAAUCAUUAUGACAUGUAGGAAUCCCAAAACCAAUCAUGAGAGGAAUAGAUUGCUGAGCCUGUUUGUUAAGCCUGCUCGUAGCAACUAGGCAGAGAAUACCUUUUUUGCUGUUUUAGUUUGUUAUCACAAAGACCAAACCAAGUAACAACUAUUUGAAAAAGUUGAUAGUUUUUAAACAGAUUCUUUGAUCAGAAGAUUGUUUGGCUUAAAUGUUUUCAAACUUUUUAUUAUAUAUUUGUUGUUUCUGUGUUGAUAUGAAUGAUACAAUUUUUGCAUAAUCAUUCCUGUAAGUUAUUGGAAAAUAUAUUUAUGUUUAAAAUUUGAAUGUUUGAAAACAGAAAAUUAAAAAAAAAAAAAACUGACAAGAAAACCAUAGGGGUUGAAGGCAUCGCAAAGCCUAUGCUUUACCAAUGUCGCAAUAAAGGAAUUAUUCAAGACUAGCAUCAAACUGAUUGUCCAAUUUAAGGGUCGUGAAGCAUAUAAAGAUCUUGACAGGGAGGGUAACUCUGAGACAGAAAAGCUUGUUUUGGCUGCUUCAUGUUCUAUAUAGAAGGGAGAGAACCAUAAUUAAAAACUUUCAGUGGAACUCUUCUGUGUGUUUAUAACCAAUACAGUGGUACUCUUUACCUUAAUGCCAAAUGAUUUCAUCAUGUGAUAUUUGUCUGAUGUGUUCUGUCUGUCGGAUAUCUUGCUGUAGAUUUUAAUGAUUUUAAUCUUACCAAUGGCCUUGGUAUACAUACAGAAAGUGUUGAUUUCAAAUAAACAACAGAAGGUAUAAACUGUUCAUAAAGUGCAUAACAAAAACAUUUUUCAAUUUUAAUUGAGAUUUUGAUGAACAAUCAAUCUUGAUUCCUAACUGAGAAAUUUUCAUGAUGAUGUUACUUGUGAAAUGUUCAUUCAUGCAUGUGUGUCAGUUUUACUCUAUUAUAUGAAUAUCCAGAAUUGAUUGGGAAAGCAAUUGUUUGCUUAAAUGAAGUUUGAAAAGAAAAUGUACAAUAAAUGUACAUGUGUCUGAAAAUACGUUGAGAAUGGAUGACUGAUCCAGGGUAUGUAUGCUGGUCAUUAUGGCUACUGUGUUAAAUAUGGUUACCCCAGUAAGAAGAUGUCUGCUCUAAUAUGUUUGGCUGUCCUGGUUAGUUUGCUAUUAGGAUAAAUAAAAUUAUCCCGGUAUUAAUGAGUACCUGGUAAUUCUGGCUACUGUGUUAAAUAUGGCUACCUAGUAAAAAUGUGUCUGCUCUAGUAUGUUUGACUAGCAUGUGCUAUAAUGAUAAAUAAAAUAAUCAAGGUAUUUAUGAGCACCUGGUAAUUCUGGCUGCCAUCCUAAGAAUGGCUUUCCUCGGUAAAACGACCAAUAUAAGUAUGGUUCUUUGUCCUUGAGAGUAAGAGUCUUUGUUGUACCCCCAGGUUUGACCUUGAGAGUAGGAGUCUCUGUUGUAACCCCAGGUUUGACCUUGAGAGUAAGAGUCUCUGUUGUAACCCCAGGUUUGACCUUGAGAGUAAGAGUCUUUGUUGUAACCCCAGGUUUGUUCUGUAUGUUUGUUAUUGAUUAAGAUGUUAUCACUUGUAGGAACUUGAAGAGAUGUCAAAAAGAAUAUUAUAGAAGGUUGUGAAUUUGUACUCAGAAUUAAAAAAAAUAUGUCAUUAU